GACUCUGCAGAGCGCCCCCUGGUCCUCUUCCGCCCUCCCGACCUCCUGAACAGCACAACCUUGUUGCUAAGCGACGACGGCUCCACGCUAUUCGUCGGGGCUCGAGACGCUGUGUUCUCAUUGGAUGUCAGCCAGAGUGAUGUCAUCAGCCUGAAGAGAAAGGUGGAGUGGCGUCCGUCUCAGAGUGAAAUCACUGAGUGUCAGAAUAAAGGGAAGGACGCUGAGGUGGACUGUCCUAACUUCGUGAGCGUCCUCUCUCAGGUGAACUCGUCUCACCUG